GCAGAGUGAUGAUGCUGUUUUAUCCAUUCGCUGAGUGGUGCUGUUCUAUUCUUCCUGCAACAUCAGGAUUCCUGUUCUAGGUUCUUGGUGCUAUGCAGCUUCCAGCUGCCUGCAGUGUAGACAGAACAAGCAGAAUUGAGGCUCCUUUUAUUUGGGCCUUGGUUUUCUAAGAUGAAUGACAGCUCUGACUGC